AGUGGAAUUUCUUGGUAUAAUGUUGGCUAUUUUUUAACUUUGUGAGAAACUGUCGAAUUGUUUUUCAAAGUGGUUGCACUAUUGUGCAUUCCCACCAGCAAU
rnacentral:pre_miRNA from 1 species